rnacentral:rRNA from 1 species
ACCCCACUGCUAUCGGGAUAGGACUAAGACAUGCUAGUCAAGCGCUUUCUAGCUAAUGUGAAAGCGCGGCGUACAGCUCAGUAACACGUGGCCAACCUGCCCUUGGGACGGGAACACCCCCGGGAAACUGGGGUUAAUUCCCGAUAGGUGAAGAAGUCUGGAAUGAAUCUUCGCUCAAAAGACGUUUAUGUCAUGCUCAUACUCGUCGCCCAGGGAUGGGGCCGCGACCGAUCAGGUUGUUGGUGAGGCAAUGGCUCACCAAGCCUUUUACCGGUGCGGGCCGUGAGAGCGGGAGCCCGGAGAUGGGCACUGAGACAAGGGCCCAGGCCCCACGGGGCGCAGCAGUCGCGAAAACUUUGCAAUACACGAAAGUGUGACAGGGCUAUCCCGAGUGCCAUCCGCUGAGGAAGGCUUUUACCCAGUAUAAAUAGCUGGGAGAAUAAGGAGAGGGCAAGUCUGGUGUCAGCCGCCGCGGUAAUACCAGCUCUCCGAGUAGUGUGGAUGUUUAUUGGGCCUAAAGCAUCCGUAGCUUGCUAGACAAGUCCCCUGUUAAAUCCACCGAUUCAAUCGUUGGAUUGCGGGGGAUACUGUUUGGCUAGGGACGGGAGAGGUCGACGGUAUUUCCGGGGUAGGGUGAAUCCUAUAAUCCCGGGAAGACCACCAGUGGCGAAGCUGUCGACUAGAACGCGCCCG